UGAGGAAUAUUGGUCAAUGGGCGAGAGCCUGAACCAGCCAAGUAGCGUGCAGGAUGACGGCCCUAUGGGUUGUAAACUGCUUUUAUGUGGGGAUAAAGUGCGUGACGUGUCAUGCAUUGCAGGUACCACAUGAAUAAGGACCGGCUAAUUCCGUGCCAGCAGCCGCGGUAAUACGGAAGGUCCGGGCGUUAUCCGGAUUUAUUGGGUUUAAAGGGAGCGUAGGCUGUCUAUUAAGCGUGUUGUGAAAUUUACCGGCUCAACCGGUGGCUUGCAGCGCGAACUGGCCGACUUGAGUAUGCAGGAAGUAGGCGGAAUUCAUGGUGUAGCGGUGAAAUGCUUAGAUAUCAUGACGAACUCCGAUUGCGCAGGCAGCUUACUGUAGCAUAACUGACGCUGAUGCUCGAAAGUGCGGGUAUCAAACAGG
rnacentral:rRNA from 1 species